rnacentral:lncRNA from 1 species
GGCCGUGCAGGGCCUCGUAGGCCACUAGAAAUUCUUUGGCUUUUGCUGUACGUGAGAUCUGAAGUCCCUGAAGGCUUGGCUUCUUAGAGGAGUGACAAGUUCUGAGUUGCAUGUUGCUAGGAGCCCUGUGGCUGCUUGGUGGUGAGGAGGCUGGAGUUGGCCUCGGGGUGAAGCAGAGAGACCAGCUAAGAGGGCGCUGCCCAGUAAUCCUGGUGACAGACGGUGGGCCCUGUGAGUGAAGUCUGUGUGCGCUUCUUGUCCUGCAGAGGGAACAAGCAGGACGAGGAGGAGAACCAGGUGUCAGCAUGAAGAAAAUGAGAGCGCUGGGGAGAACGAAGGCAGGCUGUUUCCUUCAGACUAAAGGCGGAAGAAAUCUGAUAUGCAGCGUGAUCUCACCACCUCCCAGAGUCUGAGAGCUCCUGCACAGAAUGUCAGAAGGAAUGGGCUCCCCUCUCCAGGGUAGCCCAGGAAAGCUGUAUGGCCAUGAAAACACAUCAGGACAAAUGGAGUGAAGACACAGCGUUUCUUUUAACAGCUGAAACAAGGAUGCUCAGUGUGGUGCUGCUGGGCUUAACUUCAGAGUCUCCUGCAUCCAUGACUGGUUGACACCACAGAUGGAUUCAGGAAGAGAGGACAACCGAGAAAGCCUGAAAAAGAUGAUGAAACCCACUUAAUCCAGUGUAGCCAAGGGCCUCUUCCCCCUGCAGUCUCCCCGCCACACUCACACUUAUUUCCAGCAUAGACAUAAG